UUGCUCCUUCGUCUAGUGGUCCAGGACGAUACCCUUUCACGGUACAAACACGAGUUCAAAUCUCGUAGGAGUCAU
rnacentral:tRNA from 1 species